rnacentral:tRNA from 1 species
GGGGUUGUGGCUCAGUGGUAGAGCUCUUGCCUAGCAUGUGUGAAGCAUGGAGUUCAAUCCUCAACUCCA